rnacentral:rRNA from 1 species
GGCCAGACUCCUACGGGAGGCAGCAGUGGGGGAUAUUGCACAAUGGGGGGAACCCUGAUGCAGCGACGCCGCGUGGGUGAAGAAGCGCCUCGGCGCGUAAAGCCCUGUCAGCAGGGAAGAAAAUGACGGUACCUGCAGAAGAAGCCCCGGCUAACUACGUGCCAGCAGCCGCGGUAAUACGUAGGGGGCAAGCGUUAUCCGGAUUUACUGGGUGUAAAGGGAGCGUAGACGGCGGUGCAAGCCAGAUGUGAAAGCCCGGGGCUCAACCCCGGGACUGCAUUUGGAACUGUGCUGCUAGAGUGUCGGAGAGGCAGGCGGAAUUCCUAGUGUAGCAGUGAAAUGCGUAGAUAUCAGGAGGAACACCGGCGGCGAAGGCGGCCUGCUGGACCGCGACUGACGUUGAGGCUCGAAAGCGUGGGGAGCGAACAGGAUUAGAUACCCCUGUA